rnacentral:tRNA from 1 species
GCCCAGGUAGCUCAGUUGGUAGAGCACGGCACUGAAAAUGCCGGUGUCGGUGGUUCGAAUCCGCCCCUGGGCACCA